rnacentral:rRNA from 1 species
UACGGAGGGUGCAAGCGUUAAUCGGAAUUACUGGGCGUAAAGCGUGCGCAGGCGGUUUGUUAAGUCUGUUGUGAAAUCCCCGAGCUCAACUUGGGAAUUGCAAUGGAUACUGGCAGGCUGGAGUAUGGUAGAGGAUGGUGGAAUUCCCGGUGUAGCGGUGAAAUGCGUAGAGAUCAGGAGGAACACCAGUGGCGAAGGCGGCCUUCUGGGUCGACCCUGACGCUGAGGCGCGAAAGCGUGGGGAGCGAACGGG